rnacentral:snRNA from 1 species
AUACUUACCUGGCAGGGGAGAUACCAUGAUCACAAGGGUGGUUUUCCCAGGACAAGGUUUAUCCAUCAUACUCUGAAUGUGUUCACUCUUGUUAUUUCCCCAAAUGUGGAAGACUCAACUGCAUGGUUUGUGUUAGUGGGAGACUGUGUUUGCACUCUCCCUUG